CAUGCGUCGACGCAAGCUCCGCGAGACUCAUUUGUCCAAGCUACUACCCUGCUGUCCCUCUGUCGUGUCUCAACCUCCAACAGGAAAGUAGAAGUCCUCAUAUGGUAGGACCAGUGAUUGUAGUGUGUGUUACACUGUCCUCAUAUUGUUUUAAGCUGUGAAGGACAGGAGUGUGUUUCAGUUGCCUUCCUCAUGUGGUAGGACCAACAACUCUAGUGUGUGUUACACUGUCCUCAUAUCGUUGGGUAGCAGAACCGUACAGUGUUAAGUUUCUAUAGAAUCUGGUAUAAGGAAGUCAGAUCCUUCUGUAAUAAUAUUCACUGAUACAAAUAUGAUCUGUAGUUAAUUAAAUAGUCGGGAUUUAUACUAGAGAAUGUUUCUGACGUUAUAUUGUUGUCUUUUGUUGCAGACACCAGGUGCCGAGGUCCUGUCUCAACCUCCUUCAGACCAAUUGAUGAGUGACACACCCACUUCAUUCUUCCAACAGACACCAGGUGCCGAGGUCCUGUCUCAACCUCCUUCAGACCAAUUGACACCAGGUGCCGAGGUCCUACCUCAACCUCCUUCAGACCAAUUGGCUCAAGGACCAAGUAUUCUGGGGGUUCCAAGCCACACGCUUUACUCAGCUGCCCUGGACAACAUGAAGGGCACCUCUGGCUCAAUCACCCUGAACAACAAAAACAUUAGCAACACUUCACCAAGAAGGGCUGGGACGGUGAGAAGCAAGUGGACAAAUGAUGAAGUGAAGGUUGCUGAGCGGCACGUUUCACUUCAUAAAAAGCUGCAAAGUACCAGGUAAAAAGGAAUGUGACUGCUGCCUCCAAGCAGAGCCGGCAGCUCUGAAAGACAGAGACUGGGUUGUCAUAAGGUACUACAGCCACAACAGGAUCAUAGCAUUAAAAGAAAGAUGCAAGAAAAAAAGAAACAAGCAAGAGAGAUACUUUGUUACUUCCACAGUUAUGUCAGUAUUGCAGUUUUCUGUAUUGCAUUGUUCUUACUCAUAAAUCUGUGGUUUAUGCUGGGUGCUUUUUGCAAUUAAAUGAUAAAAAAGGCAGAUAAUGUUCCACGUUUUUAUUCACAUGAACAUUCACUACAAAAUGAAUUAAUGCAUUACAAUAUCAAGACUUAAAAAGUAGACUGACCACAUUUGACCCAUGUCUUUUUUUUUUUUAAAAAGUCUUUACACAGCUCAGAUUUACUGUUUUAUUAACACAUAAAUGUCUGAUAUUUCUGUCAGAAGUUACCCAACUGGUGAGCAUUACUAUUGUGCAUCCAUGUCUAUUAUAUUGUAAUCUCAAAAGGAGCCAAGCUAAAAAUGCAGAACCUACCGUUACCUGGUCCUUAUAAGUCAUGUAUACUUGAAAAUUAUGUGUUUCCAUGGGCUUCACAAUUCACCUAAACAUGAAAUAUCUGUGUGUGACCUUAUGGUACUCAUAAGUCACAUAAACCUGACAGUGUCCUCACAAGUAGCAUUAAAUUCAGGUUUGACCAAAAUUUAGCCCUAGCCAAAAUCUCAACAGAUGGGUGUGUUCCUGGAAGCAUGGGUCAAAUUUUUUGAGAUUCCCAUGCCUCUAGGACCUUCGGAAAGGCACGUUCCCAUUUGUCACAUUUUUGUCAUACGUACUGAUAUAUCACGAAAACACGUAUGUGUGUGUGUGUGUGUGUGUGUGUGUGUGUGUGUG
ensembl:lncRNA